CUCAUGACCUUCACUGUGUUACAGAAACUUAGUUAUCAGUAUCGAGAACAAGAAUACAAGAAUUUAUACACUUACAAAACUUGCAAGGCAGGAUACAUCCCACGGGCAGGAGGAGGACUCAGGGAAGUUUGCUUAUAGAAAGGAAGAAAAAUGUAAUUUCUUCUCCCCUUUCCUGCAGCACUGCACUCCAGCCUGGGCAACACAGCAAACCCGUCUCAAAAACAAAAUAAUGAAGAAAUGAAGACAUUUUAAAAAAGGGUUAUGCUCUAUCAUCUAGGGAGGAGGAGUGCAGUGGCAUGACCUCAGCAAACUGUCUGCCUCCCCGGUUCAAGGCAUCCUCCUGUCUCAGCCUCCCAAGUAGCUGGGACUACAGGCAUGUACCACCACGCCCAGUUAAUUUUUGUAUUUUUUGUAAAGACAGGGUUACACUGUGUUCACUAUGUUGCCCAGGCUGGUCUCAAACUCCUGAGCUCAAGUAAUCCACCUGCCUUGGCCUCCCAAAGUGCUGGGGCUAUAGGUGUGAACCAUUGCACCCAGCCCUAAGUUAAAAUUUGAUUUUGGUGUGCUGCUUCUUCCUCUUUAGGGAGAACUGACACAAUGGGGACUGGCUGCCUAAGGACAAAGACAGGGAAUUAGCUAGAGUAGCACUUAAACUGCAAGAGAGUGGUAUAAACCAAAGAAAACGACUAAGACUCACAUCCAGUCUGAAGUGCAGAAGCAUGAUCAUGGCUCACUGCAGCCUCAGCCUCCUGAGCUCCUUGUUUGGUUUUAAACAAAAAAUAAAAUUCUAAGCCACGGCUGCCUCCCACCAACCAUCUGAAUAGACCCCUCCUCUCAGUCAGGGCUUUCGAAAAUUAACCUGAAAAACUGGUACAGGCCAUGCCAGGAAGGAAGGGUUGACCAUGCCUCAUUAUACCAUCUCCCUUUUGGAUUUUGGGAAAAGCUGACCAGCAUUAACAUCAACAGAUCGUUUUUCCUGCAGAUGCCGCUCUAAUCAAGGCCUAUUACUGCAGCCUCCCCAUCCUUCCCCAGCUGGUGUUCUCUGCUGCGAAAUCUCCAUCAAUCGGACUUCCAAACUCUGCUGAGGUGUAAAGAUACAAAGGUGAAAACAACAUAGUUCCUGUCAUCUAGCAUCUCUAAGAGAAAGACAUACGGAGUCUCAUUCUGUUGCCCAGGCUGGAGUGCAGUAGCUCAAUCUUGGCUCACUGCCUCUGCCUCCCAGGUUCAAGAGAUUCUCCUGCCUCAGCCUCCUGAAUACCCAGGAUAACAGAGAAGCAAAAUUCCGGCCGGCUUCCAAACGACGCCUCACAGGAAUCUCACGACGCCGAAGGUGCGGCCUGGAACGCCUUCUCCCCGGCCUGGCCUUCUCUUACCACGGAAGGCGGGGCCAGCCUGGCCACACAGCACUCGAAACUCCAUUGGUGGACGCAAAAGCAUUGGUGGCCCCUGCUCAGCCCAGCGUUGUCCUCUGAUUGCACCAUUGCCCCAGCAUCCUUAUGAUAGGGCUGAAUCGAGGAAUGCCUGCUUCAGCCUCACUUCGGGCAUCCCGAAUGCAUGCAUGAGCAGUAGCUGUGAUGGGACGGGCUGCCGUCAGAUGGAACCCAUGUGUCCAUGUCAGGACCACGAACAAGACAGGUCACUUGGAUUUGUUGCUCGUGCUGACAGUUCUCUUUCACACCUAUGUAAGCUUUCUCUCUCUCUUUCCUUCCUUCCCUCCCUCCCUGCCGUCUUUCCUUCCUUCCUCUUUCUCUCUCUCCCUUCCUUCCUUCCUUCCUUCCUUCCUUCCUUCCUUCCUUCCUUCCUUCCUUCCUUCCUUCCUUUUCUCUUUCUCUCUUUCUUUUCUUUCUUUCUCUUUCUUCUUUCUUUCACAGUCUCAUUCUAUCCCUCAUGCUGGAGUGCAGUGGCGUGAUCUCGGCUCACUGCAACCUCCCUGUCCCAACUCCCCAGUUCAAGCAAUUCUCCUGCCUCAGCUUCCCAAGUAGCUAGGAUUACAGGCAUGCACCACAAUGCCCCAGCUAAUUUUUGUAAUAUUAGUAAAGAUGGGGUUUCACCAUGUUGGCCAGGCUGGUCUUGAACUCCUGACCUUAGCUGAUCUGCCCACCUCGGCCUCCCAAAGUGCUGAGAUUACAGGCAUGAGCCACCGUGCCCCGCCUCAGUUAUUUAUUUAUAGCCAUGCAAGAAUGCCUCAAUAUACAGCCCCUUGAGAAAGGUGGCUCUGCCUUUAUGGUGCGAGAGAGACUGACAGAUCUUCCUUAGCCUGCGCCAAUCUCUGUUCUUCCCAGAGCUUCAGUGUCCUCACCUAGAAAAUGAGGAGGUUAGUCCAGAGCAAUGGUUGGCAAACAAUUUAUGAAAAUCCAUGGAACAUUUGUAAAAAAGAAAAAAACUCAAUGGCUAAAUUACGGUGAAGGCAUCUUUUCAUAUAAGCACUGUGGCACCACCAUUGUUCACGGAAUUAUUGCAAUAUGCUCUGCCCUGGCCCAUGUGGCUAUUCCCCACCUGGCACCAGAACGAUCUCUUAACUGUAAGUUACACCAUAUCACUCCUGUUUAAAACUCUCUAAUGGGCCAGUCACAGUGGCUCAGGUCUGUAAUCCCAGCACUUUGGGAGGCUGAGGCGGGUGGAUCACCUGAGAUCAGGAGUUUGAGACCAGCCUGGCCAACAUGGUGAAACCCUGUCUCUACUAAAAAUGCAAAAAUUAGCUGGGUAUGAUGGUGUGCCCCUGUAAUCCCAGCUACUUGGGAGGCUGAGGCAGGAGAAUCACUUGAACCUGGGAGGUGGAGGCUACAGUGAGCCCAGGUCACACCACUGCACUCCAGCCUGGGUGACAGAGCAAGGCUGUGUUUUUAAAAAAAGGGAAAACCUUCCAAUGGAUUCUCAUUUUACCCCAAGUAAGAUUCUAGGCUGGGUGCCAUGGCUCAUGCCUGUAAUCCCAACACUUUGGGAGGCUGAGGUGGGAAGAUUGCUUGAGCACAAGAGGUAGAGGUCGCAGUGAGCUGAGAUCACACCACUGCACUCCAGCUCUUGCUCUGGUGUACGUGUCAGUGUGCAUGUGUGCUUGUAUGCAUGUGGGCAUGGGCAUGUGUGUGUCUGGUUCCUUCCAGCUGUGCUGAUCCAUCUCUGUGUACAGAGAUACCUCUGGUCAUCUGCCCACUUUGGCCUCCCAAAGUGCUGGGACUACAGGCAUGAGCCACCACAACCGGCCUUUCUUUGUGUUUUCAAUAUAUGUACUGCAAGUAUUUUCUCUCAGUUUGUGACUUGUGUUUUUGCUAGUAAGAAAAUAGUAUAUUUUAAAAGAAGUUUUUCAUUUUAAGAAAAUCCCCAAAAAUCAGAUUUUUUUUUUCUUUUAUAAUUUAUGUUUUUUUGUGUCCAAUAUAAAAAUCUUUGUCUACCCUAAGGUCACAAAGUUUUUUUCCCUAUGUAUUUUUCUAAAAGAUGUAUAGUUUUUGCAUUUACAUUUAGGUUUAUGACCCAUUUUGUGUUAGUUUUUUCCAAUAGUGUGAGGUAAGACUGAAGUUCAUUUUCCUGUUAGAUGCCUUUAUUGUGACAAUAUAUAAAGCAUUUAGGCGGCCGGGCGUGGCGGCUCACGCCUGUAAUACCAGCACUUUGGGAGGCCAAGGCGGGUGGAUCACAAGGUCAAGAGAUCGAGACCAUCCUGGUCAAAAUGAUGAAACCUCGUCUCUACUAAAAAUACAAAAAAUUAGCUGGGCAUAGUGGUGCGUGCCUGUAAUCCCAGCUACUCAGGAGGCUGAGGCAGGAGAAUUGCCUGAACCCAGGAGGCAGAGGUUGCGGUGAGCCAAGAUCGCGCCAUUGCAUUCCAGCCUGGGUAACAAGAGCAAAACUCUGUCUCAAAAAAAAAAAAAGCAUUUAGGCAUAACCUUAACAAGAAGUUCAUAAAAUAUAGAUAAGAAAACUUUUAAAACACUCAUAAAGGACAAAAAAGUCAUCUUCAAAAGAGGAAAAGGCAUAUCCAGUCUCUUUUCUAUCAUUUUAUUAUGAAAAUUUCCAAACAUACAAGAAAAUUGCAAAAAAUGGGCCAGCAUGGCAGCUCAUACCUGUAAUCCCAGCACUUUGGGAGGCUGAGGUGGUUGGAUCACCUAAGGUCAGGAGUUGGAGACCAGCCUGGCCAACAUGGCAAAACUCCGUCUCUACUUUUUUAAAUGUAUUUCAGAGUGAGUUGCAGAAUUUAGUGCCUGUGAGCCCUAAACACUCCAGCAGUUAUGCCUUUAACUAGAGUUUCAUAUUUGUUUAUAUUUUAGGUGAAAUUUACAUGAAGUAAAAAGUACAAAGUUGGACUGUACCAUUUGAUGAGUUUUAGUUUUAGCUUUUUUUUAAAAAGCACGUGAUACAAUGAGAAGGUACAUUUGAUGAGUUUUGAAGGUACAUUUGAUGAGUGCAUACACUCACACAACUCCUUCCAAGACAUGCAGCAUUCCCAUUGCUGCAGUGAGUUCCUUCCCAGCCAAUCCUCAGGCCCAGUCCCACCUCCAGGCGCAAACAUUUUGCUGAGCAAAAGAAAGCUUACCCGAAAGUGUCUACAUUGUGUCAAUGCCUCAACAGGCAACUCAAAUUUAUGGGUAUUGCUUUUUUAUGCAGUUUGACCAAUCUGUACCUGUAAAUGAAAAUAUUUGCCCUGUUAACAUUGUUUGGUCUAAAGCUCCCUCCCUUCUAUUUUAAGUUUGGUCUAAAGAUUUCUCCAUACAUAGUGAACUGUAACCUAACUUGAUGUGUAAACAGUCUGUAACCUGCUAUUGUAAAAAUAGCUGCGUCUCAGCCAAUCACAGGCAGCCAACUGACUUCAAACCUGGUUCAAAUAAGGCAAGCACCCAACUGUUACCAGUCUAGAUGUUUCUGUGCCUACCUUAGUUUCCUCUACCUCACUUUCUUCUGUGGUAGAUGUUAUUCAACCAUUUACAGACAGACUGAGCACCCUGAAGUUUCUCUGAACCUUUUCUGGUUCUGGAAGCUACCUGAUUAAUGCAUUAUUCAAUUAACCUGAGUUAAAUUUAAUGCGUCUGAAGUUUUUUCCUUUAAUCAGCCCAUUAAUCUAAUUAUUGAUUUGACUGCAUGUAGAUCUACCCUUUAACUUUUGUGAGAUGGAAAUAGAAUCAGGUCACAGUAUCAGGUAGCACCAGGCCUCCAGGUGUUCAUGAGAAUUCCCAGGUAUCCAGGGGUGGGAUCAGGCCACAGUGUCAGAUGGCAGCAUCCGUGCUUGAGAAGUUUCCCAUGGGACCUCAGGGAGCCCAGGACAAUGCUCCAUAGUCCAGGGAUCUUUGGGAUGAGAAGAGUCCAGUGUGACUCACUGUGAGGUGUGAGGCCUUGCUGAAGCUGCUUUCCCUGAUAGUGCAGCCCUCCCUGGAUCCAGGGCUGGAGCGACCUCAAUCUCUACAGAUCUCUCCAAAAAAAAAAAAAAAAAGACUAAAGUCUCUGGUGCAGGCCCUUCUGGGAGAAGGCACUUCUCACUGUGGGCGUCAGGGCAAGGUGUGGCCCUGCUUCUGGAGGGUGGUGUGGCUCCGGAACGCACACGCAUCACUGAAACAUCCCCGUACCCCCAACUCGUCUUUUUUUUUUUUUUAAGAGGAGGAGGGGUGUAAGGGCAGUGACCAGGCGGACCCUCUUCCCCUUCCCCACCUCUCGGCCCACGGCCCAGAUGGCCACACGCGCAGCUGCCGCCACCGCUAGCUUCUGGCUUACGGCCAGCCCUCGAAUAGUGGCAGCAGGGCCACCUCCGACGUGCCUUGGCCGUUCACUUCCCGAACCCGGAUCCAACCCCGGGUCGAGCCCGGGCAGAGCGGAGCGAGGAGAAGACCUGGCUGGCUCCCAGGCGGGACACUGCAGGGGCGACCCUCACCGCCCCUUCAUCCCUGGAGCAGGCACGUUCCUUGCUGCCCUCGGAAAGCCCAGAGGGCGGGGCGGGCGCCUCCUGAGGGCGUUGCGGGCUCGGGCAGGCUCGCGGGAGAGACGUCGCCUCUUCCCAUACCAGAGGCUGGGGUGGGGGAAUGGGGGCGCGGGUCGGGGACCCCCGGGAUUGAGGAGGGAAGGCUAGCUCUACACUCAUGCUGCGAGGCGGUCACAAGCCUGUGUGGAGGACUGACUUUCAAGCCAUCCCAUCCAGGGAGCUGCUCUGCUGCAGAGAAAAGUCGGACCCAGAGGCAGCUCCUCUAGGGAUGGUUUAGGAUAGGUUCCCCACGAAUGGGCCUUGCGUGAAGAGCGAGGGGCGGGCCACCCUUCCUACUGACAGUCUCCCAAGGCAAUGAGCUCUCCGCAUGGGUGCCCAACCCUGCUGCACUGCGUCCUGCUGGCGGGGACGGCGGGGACGGCGGGGACUGCGGGGACCGGCUAUCCCAGGCCACGGCGCUGCGCUAUAGUUCUGCUGGGGUGGAUUCUGACUUAGAGGCAAGAGCCACAGCCCCGGCCCCAGCUCAGGUUUUCUGACACCCGUUUAAAACGCAAAAGGUCAGAAGGAUCCUAACCCUGCUUUCACCGUCUGAAUUCCUGCUGCGAAUGAAGACCAAGGAGCUUUCUUAUUACAUGGAAUAUCGUUUCCCUUCCUUUUUUUUUUUUGAGACGGAGUUUCGCUCUUGUUACCCAGGCUGGAGUGCAAUGGCGCGAUCUCGGCUCACCGCAACCUCCGCCUCCUGGGUUCAGGCAAUUCUCCUGCCUCAGCCUCCUGAGUAGCUGGGAUUACAGGCACGCGCCACCAUGCCCAGCUAAUUUUUUGUAUCUUUAGUAGAGACGGGGUUUCACCAUGUUGACCAGAAUGGUCUCAAUCUCUUGACCUCGUGAUCCACCCGCCUCGGCCUCCCAAAGUGCUGGGAUUACAGGCGUGAGCCACCGCGCCCGGCCCGUUUCCCUUCCUUUUAUACUCAAUAAUUCUGUAUCCUUCUAACAAUUUAUUUUUUGAGAUGGAAUCUUGCUCUGUUGCCCAAGCUGGAGUGCAGUGGCACGAUCUCAGCUCACUGCAACUUGUGCCUCAAGCAAUUCUCCUGGCUUAGCCUCUCGAGUAGCUGUCAUUACAGGUGCCUGCCACCACGCCCGGCUAAUUUUUGUAUUUUUAGUAGAGACGAGGUUUCAGCCUGUUGGCCAGGCUGGUCUCAAACUCCUGACCUCAAGUGAUCCACCUGCCUCGGCCUCCCAAAAUACUGAGAUCACAGGCAUGAACCACGGUGCCCAACCUCCUUCCAUUUUAGAUGUCUUUUUAAAAAAGAAAUUAUAGCAUGCAUGAUUCACUUAUCAAAGUCGAAAGUCAAUUGAUAUAUAUAAUAUAUAUAUAUAUUUCAUUCCUUCUCUUGUGUGUAUACACAAGAUACAUGCACACACAUACACACACAUGUAUAUAGAUUCAUAGAAAUUUUUUUUAAUCAAGCAAAUAUGGCAAAAUGUUAACAAUUGGUGAAUCUUGGUGAAAGAAGGGUGUUGAUUGUACAAUUCUUCCACCUUUUUCAUGGGCUUGAAAAGUUUCAAAAUAAAAGGUUGGAAAGGAAAAAACAAAUUGUAGUAGAUUAUAUAUUAAAAUGCUACCCCUUUCCGAAGAGGGGUGAAAUGCUAAUACAUAAACAUAUUUGCCUAAACUUUUUGAAAGAAGCAGUGGAAGAAUAAACCAAAAAACUAAACUUAUUCACCUACAGGAGGAGGGAGGGACCUAGAGGGGACGGAGACGGAAUGUGAACUCUUAAGCCUUUUGCUUAACAGUUGACUGAGUAACCGGGUAAAUACUUUACAGCAUUAAAAACAAAAUAAGGCUGGGGCACGGUGACUCACGCCUGUAAUCCCAGCACAUUGGGAGGCUCAGGUGGGCGGAUCAUUUGAGGUCAGGAGUUUGAGACCAGCCUGACCAACAUCUCUACUAGAAAAUACAAAAAAAAAAAAAAAAAAAAAAAAAAAUUAACCGGGCGUGGUGGCAUGUGCACGUAAUCCCAGUUUACCAAAGUCUAAAGUCAAUUUAAACUUUGCCUUUUUUCUGAAUAAUAAAAUGACCUUAGAUUUACUUAGCGUCACUGACUGCCUCCUCCCCGUGAAUUACAUAGUAACCUUGCCGGGACUUUUAGUGUAAUCCCACCAGACAGCAUUAGCAUCAUUUAUACAAAGGACAUUUACAUUUUUACGUGUAUUUGCUGCUUUCUUCGCUCUUCAUGACUUUUUGCAUCCCAUACCUUCUAUCUGGGAUCAGUUUUCUCCUUUCUGAAAUAUAUAUUUCAGUGGGAAUUGGCUGAAACAUUUUUGUUGGGACGCUGAAGCAGGAGAAUUGCUUGAACCCGGGAAGCGGAGGUUGCAGUGAGCACAGAUAGUGCCACUGCACUGAAGCCUGGGCGACAGAGUCAGACUCUGUCUCAAAAAAACCUGUAAUCCCAGCACUUUGGGAGGCCGAGGCGGGUGGAUCACGAGGUCAAGAGAUUGAGACCAUCCUGGUCAACGUGGUGAAACCCCGUCUCUACUAAAAAUACAAAAAUUAGCUGGGCAUGGUGGCGCGUGCCUGUAAUCCCAGCUACUCAGGAGGCUGAGGCAGGAGAAUUGCCUGAACCCAGGAGGUGGAGGUUGCGGUGAGCAGAGACCGCGCAAUUGCACUCCAGCCUGGGUAACAAGAGCGAAAUUCCGUCUCAAAAGAAAAAAGAAAAAAAGUAAAACGUAAGAGCGAAGCCAUUUCUAAAAGUGAAAACUAAACUGGUGGAAAUGACUCUGGGUGGAAAGUUGGUGGCGUAGUAACACGGGAAAAUUAGUUCCAGCUACUUUACCUGUGUACAAUGACUGGACAACUCUAGUGAGAUAGAUCCUGCUGAUUGAAAGAAAUGAAAAUCUCAACUGAAUUCAGUAUUGUUAUUCUUAGUGCAAAAAGUUGCAUGAUUAUUUCAAAACAAAUAGCAAAUAAGUAAUUAUGCGUCAGGGCCAGAGAAAAGAGAUAGAAAUAUGAAACCAAUGCAUUUAAAUUAAAACCUAAGAAUCUUUCAUUUGCAUGGGAAAUACUAGUGUGAACUCAGGAAAAGCAUUUCUUUUUCUAAAGAAUGUCUCUUUCUAGCUGUAUAUGUUAACAGUAGGAAACAGCACCCUUACUUAGUGUUUAAAUUAUAGUCUCUAAAAUACCAUUUCCCAUGAAAAUGAAACUUCUUCAAGACUCCUUAGAGAUGUGCCUGAUUUCAGAUUUGAAAUAAGAAUUAUAUAAGGUGAGCCCGGGAUAUUUGCUGUGCCAAAGCAGGGAAUUAUCAUAUACUACAAGGGUCAUGUCAAAAGGACAUAGGAUGCUGGGGUUGGGUGGCUCACAUCUGUAAUCCCAGCACUUUGGGAGGCCAAGAUGGAUCAUCUGAGGUCAGGAGUUUGAGACCAGCUUGGCCAACAUGGUGAAACCCUGUCUCUACUAAAAAUGCAAAAAUUUGCUGGGCAUGGUGGCUUGUACCUGUAAUCGUAGCUACUCAGGAGGCUGAAGCAGGAGAAUUGCUUGAACCUGGGAGGUGGAGGUUGCAGUGAGCCAAGAUCACACCAUUGCACUCCAGCCUUGGCAACAAGAGUGAAACUCCGACUCAAAAAACCAAAACAAACAAAAAGUGAAGCUGUGGGGUAAUUUGCUAGGCAACAAUGGGUAACUAAUGCAGCUUCUGUCACACCUUCCGGGAAACUUCUCAUCCUGCUCUCAGCACAAAACUCUUCCUCGAUUUGGUUCCAUCUAAACCUCUGUUCAUCCUUCAAGAUUCACCUGAAGGAGUGUUUCCCAAAAUAGGUUUCAGGUGUCAGUGGUGUAGGGUACGUGAGAUGAUUCUAAGGGAUUACACGUGACAGUUGUCCAAAAGGGUUACAUGCGAUGUUUAAGUGUCUAUUACAGUAAAAGAAUUGGAACUAGCAUAUUAAUCCCAUGAUGGGAUAAACAUUAUUGUUUUAAGAUGAGGCUGGCUGGGUACAAUGACUCACGUCCCAGCACUUUGGGAGGCCCAGGUGGGCAGAUUAUAAGGUCAGGAGUUCCAGAGCAGCCUGACCAACAUGGUAAAACCCCAUCUCUACUAAAAAAAAAAAAUACAAAAAUUAGCCGGGUGUGGUGGCACGCACCUGUAAUCCUAGCUACUCAGGAGGCUGAGGCUGCAGAGUCGCUUGAACUUGGGAAGUGGAGAUCGUGCUAAUGCACUCCAGACUGGGCAACAGAGUGAGACUCCGUCUCAAAAAAAAAAAAAAAAAAAAGGCUAAAGACAAAUAGUGAGCCAUUUUAAGGAAAAUUUUUGAGUAAAUAAUAGUGCAAAGGAUACCAGAUAAUUGUAAAAGUGGAACGUGACUAAAAUUUGGAAGUGCAAUGAGGAAUAGCAGCAAUGCCUCUAGGAAACCUUCCCUGCCACCUCAGGUGGGCCAGUUUGCCCCUCAUUUAGAUCCCCAAAUCUCUCUCCACCUGGAAUCUGUCAGGGUCCAAUCUCUGGAUGACAGAAGCCUGUGAGGCUGUGGUCUCUACAUCCGACCUGAGCUCCAAGCCUGCAGGGCAGGCCCUGCAGAAGGGAAGAUGGACAGAAAGGGGGGAGUAAGAGCAAGGUGGGACCUCCACACAAGGUGGAAGGUUUCAGGACCCACAGAAUCUGCCUCUGUUCUUGCUGCUUCAUCUUGAUGGAGCAGGGAACCUGCAAGAGUGAC